rnacentral:rRNA from 1 species
AGAGUUUGAUCCUGGCUCAGGAUGAACGCUGGCGGCGUGCCUAAUACAUGCAAGUCGAGCGAACUGAUUAGAAGCUUGCUUCUAUGACGUUAGCGGCGGACGGGUGAGUAACACGUGGGCAGCCUGCCUGUAAGACUGGGAUAACUUCGGGAAACCGAAGCUAAUACCGGAUAGGAUCUUCUCCUUCAUGGGAGAUGAUUGAAAGAUGGUUUCGGCUAUCACUUACAGAUGGGCCCGCGGUGCAUUAGCUAGUUGGUGAGGUAACGGCUCACCAAGGCAACGAUGCAUAGCCGACCUGAGAGGGUGAUCGGCCACACUGGGACUGAGACACGGCCCAGACUCCUACGGGAGGCAGCAGUAGGGAAUCUUCCGCAAUGGACGAAAGUCUGACGGAGCAACGCCGCGUGAGUGAUGAAGGCUUUCGGGUCGUAAAACUCUGUUGUUAGGGAAGAACAAGUACGAGAGUAACUGCUCGCACCUUGACGGUACCUAGCCAGAAAGCCACGGCUAACUACGUGCCAGCAGCCGCGGUAAUACGUAGGUGGCAAGCGUUAUCCGGAAUUAUUGGGCGUAAAGCGCGCGCAGGCGGUUUCUUAAGUCUGAUGUGAAAGCCCACGGCUCAACCGUGG